CGAAAGGGAACAAGAGGGAAUGAGAGGGAAAGGGAGAGAGGGAACGAGGGAACGAGAGUGAGAAUGAGAGAGAGAGGGGGAACGAGAGAGAGGGAAUGAGAGAGAGAGAGAAUGACAAAGAUAGAGGGAGAGAGGGGAUGCUCACCCUGGUAAUAAGAGGGGAGGCUCAGUCUGGUAAUAAGAGGGGAGGCUCAGUCUGGUAAUAAGAGAGGAGGAUCCAUCUGGUAAUAAGAAGGGAGGCUCACCCUGGUAAUAAGAGGGGAGUCUCAGUCUGGUAAUAAGAGGGGAGUCUCAGUCUGGUAAUAAGAUGGGAGUCUCACCCUGGUAAUAAGAGGGGAGUCUCAGUCUGGUAAUAGGAUGGGAGUCUCAGUCUGGUAAUAAGAGGGGAGUCUCAGUCUGGUAAUAAGAGGGGAGCCUCAGUCUGGUAAUAAGAUGGGAUGCUCACCCUGGUAAUAAGAGAGGAGGCUCAGUCUGGUAAUAAGAGAGGAGGCUCACCCUGGUAAUAAGAGAGGAGGCUCCGUCUGGUAAUAAGAGGGGAGGCUCCAUCUGGUAAUAAGAGGGGAGGCUCACCCUGGUAAUAAGAGAGGAGGCUCAGUCUGGUAAUAAGAGAGGAGGCUCACCCUGGUAAUAAGAGAGGAGGCUCCGUCUGGUAAUAAGAGGGAGGCUCAGUCUGGUAAUAAGAGGGGAGUCUCAGUCUGGUAAUAAGAGGGGAGGCUCCAUCUGGUAAUAAGAUGGGAGGCUCACCCUGGUAAUAAGAGAGGAGGCUCAGUCUGGUAAUAAGAGAGGAGGCUCACCCUGGUAAUAAGAGAGGAGGCUCACCCUGGUAAUAAGAGGGGAGGCUCAGUCUGGUAAUAAGAGAGGAGGCUCACCCUGGUAAUAAGAGGGGAGGCUCAGUCUGGUAAUAAGAGAGGAGGCUCAGUCUGGUAAUAAGAGGGGAGUAUCAGUCUGGUAAUAAGAGGGGAGGCUCCGUCUGGUAAUAAGAGAGGAGGCUCUCUUAUUAAUUUAUGAGACCUGUGCUGGUGGAAGAAUAGUGUCCUCAAACAAUUGCAUGGCAUGCUUUCGCUGUAAAGCCU
rnacentral:lncRNA from 1 species